rnacentral:rRNA from 1 species
UACGAAGGGGGCUAGCGUUGUUCGGAAUUACUGGGCGUAAAGGGCGCGUAGGCGGUUCGUUAAGUCCUGUGUGAAAUCCCCCGGCUCAACUGGGGAACUGCACAGGAAACUAGCGGGCUUGAGUGCGGGAGAGGAGAGCGGAAUUCCUGGUGUAGCGGUGAAAUGCGUAGAUAUCAGGAGGAACACCGGCGGUGUAGACGGCUCUCUGGACCGUAACUGACGCUGAGAUACGAAAGCGUGGGUAGCAAACAGG